rnacentral:rRNA from 1 species
UACGAAGGGUGCAAACGUUGCUCGGAAUUAUUGGGCGUAAAGCGCACGUAGGCGGGUCGUUAAGUCAGGGGUGAAAUCCCGGAGCUCAACUCCGGAACUGCCUUUGAUACUGGCGACCUUGAGGCUGGAAGAGGUUAGUGGAAUUCCCAGUGUAGAGGUGAAAUUCGUAGAUAUUGGGAAGAACACCAGUGGCGAAGGCGGCUAACUGGUCCAGAUCUGACGCUGAGGUGCGAAAGCGUGGGGAGCAAACAGG